rnacentral:rRNA from 1 species
AGCGAACGCUGGCGGCAGGCUUAACACAUGCAAGUCGAGCGGGCACUUCGGUGUCAGCGGCAGACGGGUGAGUAACACGUGGGAACGUACCCUUCGGUUCGGAAUAACGCUGGGAAACUAGCGCUAAUACCGGAUACGCCCUUUUGGGGAAAGGUUUACUGCCGAAGGAUCGGCCCGCGUCUGAUUAGCUAGUUGGUGGGGUAAUGGCCUACCAAGGCGACGAUCAGUAGCUGGUCUGAGAGGAUGAUCAGCCACACUGGGACUGAGACACGGCCCAGACUCCUACGGGAGGCAGCAGUGGGGAAUAUGGGACAAUGGGCGCAAGCCUGAUCCAGCCAUGCCGCGUGAGUGAUGAAGGCCUUAGGGUUGUAAAGCUCUUUUGUCCGGGACGAUAAUGACGGUACCGGAAGAAUAAGCCCCGGCUAACUUCGU